UACGGAGGGUGCAAGCGUUAUCCGGAUUCACUGGGUUUAAAGGGUGCGUAGGCGGCUUUAUAAGUCAUUGGUGAAAGCUCGCAGCUUAACUGUGAAACUGCCAUUGAAACUGUUUAGCUUGAAUGUGGUUGAAGUGGGCGGAAUAUAACAUGUAGCGGUGAAAUGCUUAGAUAUGUUAUAGAACACCGAUUGCGAAGGCAGCUCACUAAGCCAAUUUAUUGACGCUGAGGCACGAAAGCGUGGGUAGCGAACAGG
rnacentral:rRNA from 1 species